GACAGAGGUGCCGAGCGUUAGGCGGAAUCACUGGGCUUAAAGCGUGUGUAGGCGGACUUCUAAGUACCUUGUGAAAUCCCACGGCUCAACCGUGGAACUGCUCGGUAUACUGGUUGUCUUGAGCCACUUAGGGGCAGUCGGAACAGACGGUGGAGCGGUGAAAUGCGUAGAUAUCCGGAAGAACACCGGUGGCGAAGGCGGCCUGCUGGGCAGUGGCUGACACUGAGGCGCGACAGCGUGGGGAGCAAACAGG
rnacentral:rRNA from 1 species